rnacentral:rRNA from 1 species
AACGAACGCUGGCGGCAUGCCUAACACAUGCAAGUCGAACGAGACCUUCGGGUCUAGUGGCGCACGGGUGCGUAACGCGUGGGAACCUGCCUUUAGGUUCGGAAUAACUCAGAGAAAUUUGAGCUAAUACCGGAUAAUGUCUUCGGACCAAAGAUUUAUCGCCUUUAGAUGGGCCCGCGUUGGAUUAGCUAGUUGGUGGGGUAAAGGCCUACCAAGGCGACGAUCCAUAGCUGGUCUGAGAGGAUGAUCAGCCACACUGGGACUGAGACACGGCCCAGACUCCUACGGGAGGCAGCAGUGGGGAAUAUUGGACGAAUGGGCGAAAGCCUGAUCCAGCAAUGCCGCGUGAGNGAUGAAGGCCUGGUGUAAG